AGUGAACGCUGGCGGUAGGCCUAACACAUGCAAAUCGAACGGCAGCACAGGAGAGCUUGCUCUCUGGGUGGCGAGUGGCGGACGGGUGAGGAAUACAUCGGAAUCUACUUUUUCGUGGGGGAUAACGUAGGGAAACUUACGCUCAUACCGCAUACGACCUACGGGUGAAAGCAGGGGACCUUCGGGCCUUGCGCGAUUGAAUGAGCCGAUGUCGGAUUGGCUAGUUGGCGGGGUAAAGGCCCACCAAGGCGACGAUCCGUAGCUGGUCUGAGAGGAUGAUCAGCCACACUGGAACUGAGAAGCGGUCCAGACUCCUACGGGAGGCAGCAGUGGGGAAUAUUGGACAAUGGGCGCAAGCCUGAUCCAGCCAUACCGCGUGGGUGAAGAAGGCCUUCGGGUUGUAAAGCCCUUUUGUUGGGAAAGAAAUCCAGCUGGCUAAUACCCGGUUGGGAUGACGGUACCCAAAGAAUAAGCACCGGCUAACUUCGUGCCAGCAGCCGCGGUAA
rnacentral:rRNA from 1 species